AACGUUAUAACACCCCCGCUAGGGAUACAUUGCAUUUGUAUGACCGAGCCCGAGGGCCGCAGGCCCGAGGGCGAGGUCAUACAAAUGCAAUGUAUCCCGCAGCGGGGGUGUUAUCAACAUAUUUAUGUAGUAGUGAGUGGGCGUAUCAAAGGCGCGCGCCAAUGCGCAUGCUCAGUAGCACCACACCUCGUGGUAAAAUGGUAGCAAUGGAGGACAGGAGGCUCACAAAAAGGCUAUAAUGUCUGGAAGAGGUCUAGAACAGAGAUCCUGCGCUUGCUGACCGGCCAUGUAUCGAUCUUACCUUCCCCGGCCAUCUAUAUUUAUUAUUGAGGCUUAGUCAACCAUUGAUUUCAACGCGGAAGGAAAGCAGUGAAACUCUACCUGCAUGGAUUAUUGGUCUGUGAAUCGAUCUAAAGUUUUCUGCACUCCGGAGACUCACAAUUGUUCCGACUUUGUACCCGCUGUCCGUUCCCGCGGGCCACUGGACCUAGGCCAGACUUUAUUGCAAGCUUUAUUGACAGUUGACUUUCAGCUUAUAAUACCUGUACAAUAAUGUUGUUUCUUAUAUUUUAUUUUAAGAGAUUUUUUCUGUCAACCCACAGGGCUACAAAUAAAA